UAAGUCCCCUACGUUGUAAGAGGUAGCGACUCACAAUGUCCCCGAGUCAUGCGUGGCACGCCGCGAGGUUUGUCGCGAAGCGUUGACAGGGGCGCUGAUAGGCCAGCCAUUGAGCCACGAAAUGAAUAUCGAUCCGGGUGCUGACGUACUACUGUAUGCGGAAGGCAAAACUGCACAGCGCGCUAUCGCGAGCGCUGCGCGGACUCGGCGCGGUCUAAGAACC
rnacentral:ncRNA from 1 species